AUGCAAAUGAAAGCCACAAGAGAAAAGAACUCCUACAUUCAUAACAGCAUGGAUGGUCAUGGAGAGCAUUUUGCUAAGCAAACUAAGCCAGUCAGAGAAAGAUAAAUAUCACAUGAUCUCACUCAUUUGUGGAAUAUAAUGAACAACAUAAACUGAUGAACAAAAAUAAAUCCAGAGACAGAGAAGCAUCUAAGAGACCAUCCAACUUCAGAGAGAAGUUAGGGGAGGGGUGGGUAAGAGAUCAAUCUAAGGACUUGUAUGCAUGCAUAUGAGCAUAA